rnacentral:rRNA from 1 species
AGCGAACGCUGGCGGCAGGCCUAACACAUGCAAGUCGAGCGCCCAGCAAUGGGAGCGGCAGACGGGUGAGUAACGCGUGGGGAUGUGCCCAAUGGUGCGGAAUAACCCAGGGAAACUUGGAUUAAUACCGAAUGUGCCCUUCGGGGGAAAGAUUUAUCGCCAUUGGAUCAACCCGCGUCUGAUUAGCUAGUUGGUGAGGUAAAGGCUCACCAAGGCGACGUUCAGUAGCUGGUCUGAGAGGAUGAUCAGCCACACUGGCGCUGAGACACGGCCCAGACUCCUACGGGAGGCAGCAGUGGGGAAUAUUGGACAAUGGGCGCAAGCCUGAUCCAGCCAUGCCGCGUGAGUGAUGAAGGCCGUAGGGUUGUAAAGCUCGUUCGCCGGUGAAGAUAAUGACGGUAACCGGAGAAGAAGCCCCGGCUAACUUCGUGCCAGCCGCCGCAGUAA